rnacentral:rRNA from 1 species
AACGAACGCUGGCGGCAUGCCUAACACAUGCAAGUCGAACGAGACCUUCGGGUCUAGUGGCGCACGGGUGCGUAACGCGUGGGAACCUGCCCUUAGGUUCGGAAUAACUCCCCGAAAGGGGUGCUAAUACCGGAUAAUGUCUUCGGACCAAAGAUUUAUCGCCUUUGGAUGGGCCCGCGUUGGAUUAGCUAGUUGGUAGGGUAAAAGCCUACCAAGGCGAUGAUCCAUAGCUGGUCUGAGAGGAUGAUCAGCCACACUGGGACUGAGACACGGCCCAGACUCCUACGGGAGGCAGCAGUGGGGAAUAUUGGACAAUGGGCGAAAGCCUGAUCCAGCAAUGCCGCGUGAGUGAUGAAGGCCUUAGGGUUGUAAAGCUCUUUUACCCGGGAUGAUAAUGACAGUACCGGGAGAAUAAGCUCCGGCUAACUCCGUG